AACUAACGCUGGCGGCGUGCCUAACACAUGCAAGUCGUACGAGAAAGUUGGCUUCGGCCGAUGAGUACAGUGGCGCACGGGUGAGUAACGCGUGGAUAAUCUGCCCUUAAGUGUGGAAUAACGUACCGAAAGGUGCGCUAAUACCGCAUAAUGCCUGGCAACAUAAGUUGUCCGGCCAAAGAAGGCCUCUGCUUGCAAGCUUUCGCUAAAGGAUGAGUCCGCGUACCAUUAGCUAGUUGGUGGGGUAACGGCCUACCAAGGCGACGAUGGUUAGCUGGUCUGAGAGGAUGAUCAGCCACACUGGGACUGAGACACGGCCCAGACUCCUACGGGAGGCAGCAGUGGGGAAUUUUGGACAAUGGGCGAAAGCCUGAUCCAGCCAUGCCGCGUGAGUGAAGAAGGCCUCGGUUGUAAGACUCUUUCGGUCUGGGUAGGAAAGUACGCACACGGCGUAAUACUACUCGUGUGGAGUGACGGUACCGACGCACAAGAAGACG
rnacentral:rRNA from 1 species